rnacentral:rRNA from 1 species
UACGUAGGUGGCAAGCGUUAUCCGGAUUUAUUGGGCGUAAAGGGAACGCAGGCGGUCUUUUAAGUCUGAUGUGAAAGCCUUCGGCAUAACCGGAGUAGUGCAUUGGAAACUGGGAGACUUGAGUGCAGAAGAGGAGAGUGGAACUCCAUGUGUAGCGGUGAAAUGCGUAGAUAUAUGGAAGAACACCAGUGGCGAAAGCGGCUCUCUGGUCUGUAACUGACGCUGAGGUUCGAAAGCGUGGGUAGCAAACAGG